AUGGAAGCGGGCGAGGCGGCUGUGCAGGAGAAGAAGCCGAGGAGGUCCGUGCCCAUCAAGGAGGAGGUGGGCAGCGUCAAGGACAAGGCCAAGAAGUCACUGUCAAAGAAGUGGCAAUCGUCGUCGUUGAGCGGUGGCGGCCAGGUGGUCGGGGCAGGAGGGAAGGACCUGGUCCCGAAGCCUCCGCUGAGGUGGGGGCUCCGACCGAGGGUGCUAGCGAUGAACCUGAGGGUGCCAUCCAACAUCAAUGAGAAGUCGUCCAACUUCAUUGAGGAGCACAUGAAGGGCUUUGACGACGGUGGCAUGCCGGGGAAAUGA
rnacentral:rRNA from 1 species